GCUGGGCAUGGUAGUGCAUGCCUGUAGUCCAAGCUACUCGGGAGGCUGAGGCGGGAGAAUCGCUUGAACCCAGGAGGUGGAGGUUGCAGUGAGCCGAGACUGAACCACUGCACUCCAGCCUGGGUGACAGAGCGAGACUCUGUCUCAA
rnacentral:SRP_RNA from 1 species